rnacentral:lncRNA from 1 species
UCGUAGACAACCUCUUGCCAGACAUCAUCAAGAAACACUCCAGUCUCAAAAGCGUCCUUGAGAUUGACUUCUACUGCUAGCCGGGCAAAUUUGCCACGAGACGUAGAGAGGGUUCAUCGGUCAAUCUGGACCGUGCGUCCUAUCAUAUCUCCCAAUGCCCAGAGCCUUAACGGUAAGCUUAACGAUAAGAGCCUUCCAGAGCGGGGCACAUAUUUUGGCACGUAACUCCCCGACGUAUAAAGAUACCAGUGCCCAUUUUUGUGACUCAGAGAGAUAUCAUUGUCCUUGAUGGAAAUCGAGACCUCAUUAGAAGGAGGGGUUGGUUGCAAAUGUACGGGACACCAUGGCAGCGUACGAAGUUGGUGGUGCAUGAGGAAUACAAGUCAGCUAUGUAACUGUCGGAGACUCAGUUGGAAUCUCCUGAUUUUCAG